rnacentral:piRNA from 1 species
UGCACUGUUGCAGCUCUCCAGGAGCAGGUGU